GAUCUUGUGGCCUAGUGGUUAGGGCACCUGUCUUACAAAAUGAAAUGCGUUUCAGUGAUCACAGGGGAUCGCAGGUUCGAACCCUGCCAAGAUCA